rnacentral:rRNA from 1 species
UGGUGGAGCGAUUUGUCUGGUUAAUUCCGUUAACGAACGAGACCUCAGCCUGCCAACUAGCUAUGCGGAGGUGAUCCUCCGUGGCCAGCUUCUUAGAGGGACUAUGGCCGCUUAGGCCAAGGAAGUUUGAGGCAAUAACA